UACAUCAUCUCACUUUCUUCUUUCUCGUCAAUCUUCUCAGCCCCAAGGUUCGGUUAAAUAAAAAGGUUCUUUGUUUCCUCACAUUUCCGCCAUUGUCUUCUUUCAUCGUUCAACGAGGAUCUCCUUUCUCUGCCGCCAUUGCCUCCGAGCAAUCCAUCAAACUUAGGCACACAACGCUCAUCAUUUGCCCCCAAAAAAAGCCUUACCACCACCAAGUUAAUCACAAGAUCCUGAUUUCCUCAACUUCAUCGCGCUUUCAAAAUUCCAGUCCACUGAGUUGAUGAUUCUUUAUUUGCAUUGGCUGAAUCGCUAUGUGGCUGUGAAGAAUGGUAAGAAAUUUGAGAAUGAAGUGAAAUGGGGGAUUGACUUGGCAUCUGAGCAUGAAAGGUAUUUUGCCAGUUUGUGCUUUCAAGUUCUUGUUCUUAUUGACUUGGGGAAAAUGAUAUCUAGUGGGCAUGGUGUUUAAGCAGAUACCUUACAGAUGUGGAUACAGAUGAACAUUACCAACCAAAUAUUUCUAUUGGGAUACUUCAUGUGGCUCUUAGACAGAUGAUGUGAAGGCUCUCUGCCUGAAUCAGUAGCAUAAUGACUUCUUAUACUUCUUUGCUGAUAACCUGUUUUGGUACUCUGGUCAAAUCUUUUGUACAGGGAAGAUGAACCUCAAGGAUUUCACAUUGGGUUUGUCAAUUAAUACUCAUGCAUGGAUUAUGCAAUCUCCUUUUUCCCCCUUUCGAUUAUUUUGUUUGCUCUUUUUGUUAGGUAUUCAGGAUAAAGGCUGGUCUGUUGCUGGUUUGGUGAUAUUACCUUUUCAAUUUUCCUUUAGCAUGAAUCUUAUUUUGUAACCUUAAAGGGGUACAAUGAAAUCACAAAAAUGGUUCCUUUAUUUAUUUAUUUAUUUUUAUGCAGUUCAUGUAUCUCGUGUUUGAAUUGGUGGCCAUUUUAGGGGCGAGCCAGAAUGAUUGGUUUUGUAUUCUAUUUUUUAAUGAAGCUCAAUUCACAUUUUCAUUUGGUUAUAUAAGCUAUAACCAUAAAGUAAAUUACAGGUAGCAUUAGUAGGAUGUGUAUUAUGUUUUAAAGUUGAAAAAUCAGAGAACUGAUCGGACUAUUGCUUUGGUGAAUCAGUAUUAGUUUUUCUCGGUAACCACAAUUCUAACUUAUUGUUGUUGAUGCUGUAAGAAAUUGGCCAUUCAAGUUAACUUUUAACACUCAAAUGUUCUAGUAGGAUUAAGUCUUAUAAAAUGAAGGUUGCAAAACUUUUAUUUGUAUGCUGUUGGCAUGCCUUUCUAGGCCAUUUGGCUAAGAUCAAGUGUGCUGUUGGCAUAUGAUGACACAUUAAAUGUCGUACAUGCAUAGGGCUGAAUAGUGUGUGCCAAUAUAUUAUAGAUGGACAU